rnacentral:lncRNA from 1 species
GGUUUUGCAUGAAGCAGCAGAACAUGAUGAAGCAUUUUUCCCCCAUCUAAAGAUCCAGUCGUGCUCCAGUUUGCAGAGGGCAAGGGGCUGGUUGCAGGUGGUGCUGGGAGGAUGGAGGUGAGUGGCUGGUCUGAGGUCCCUGAGAAAGGCAUGGGGCGGGUGUUGGGCAGGACUCCCUUGCUCUCAGAUGGCUCCCCAUUUAUUUGUCA